rnacentral:rRNA from 1 species
GACGAACGCUGGCGGCGUGCUUAACACAUGCAAGUCGAACGAAGUGGCGAACGGGUGAGUAAUACGUGGGUAACCUGCCCUCCUUUUUGGGAUAAGCCUUGGAAACGGGGUCUAAUACCAAAUAGAGGGGGAUGCGCUCGCGGCCUAUCAGCUUGUUGGUGGGGUGAUGGCCUACCAAGGCGGUGACGGGUAUCCGGCCUGAGAGGUUGACCGGCCACAUUGUGACUGAGAUACGGCCCAGCAUCCUACGGGAUGAAGCAGUGGGGGAUAUUGCACAAUGGGCGCAAGCCUGAUGCAGCCAUGCCGCGUGUAUGAAGAAGGCCUUCGGGUUGUAAAGUAUUUUCAGCGGGGAGACUUUACCCGCAGAAGAAGCACCGGCUAACUCCGUGCCAGCAGCCGCGGUAAUUC